UACGGAGGGUGCAAACGUUGCUCGGAAUCAUUGGGCGUAAAGCGUGUGUAGGCGGCCUGUUAAGUCGGGUGUGAAAGCCCCGGGCUCAACCCGGGAAGUGCAUUCGAUACUGGCAGGCUAGAGUGCGGUAGAGGAUGGCGGAAUUCCCGGUGUAGCAGUGAAAUGCGUAGAGAUCGGGAGGAACAUCUGUGGCGAAGGCGGCCAUCUGGACCAGCACUGACACUGAGGCACGAAAAGCGUGGGGAGCAAACAGG
rnacentral:rRNA from 1 species